rnacentral:lncRNA from 1 species
CCCUUUGUUUCUGCUCUGCUUAAGACUUUAGUGUCACCCUUCCUAAGAAGCCCCUUUGUCUGGUCUGUCACUGGGAAUUCACAUCCUCCCCAGUCUUCUAGCAGCAGAGCCUCUUUUGUGGCACCUUUAUGUCGUGGUGCAUUAUCUGCCUUUUCUUUCAGUAGCUGUGGCCUCGCCUUUAUCCCACUGAGCAGAUUUAUCUCCUGGUGCCCAGUUCUGUUCCCUGCACACAGUAGGCAUCCAGUGUCUGUCACGUGAAUAAGUGGGGCUUUGACUGACAUUUGUCUCUUUCCUUUCCGAGCCGCUUGCUGUGAUCUCCUCUGGCACUGACUCACGCCCGUGUCUUGACUCCCUUUUCUGCAACAGGUUUUGCUUGCUUCUUUCUCCCAAUAGCAGUCACUGUGUGGGUGUCCUGCCUGCUGCCCAUUUCCACCAUGCUGCUGGCCAGACCUCCCCUUCCUCAUCCCAACCCGUCCAUGGGUCAUAUAACUAGUAUGGGAGCCGAGUGUGGACACAUUACAAUCCUAAUAAAAAGGCUGAAGAACAGUCCUUUAGGUUUAUGGGUAGUUUGCUUUCAAGCUUCCUGACCCAUGUUGAAAGGGAAGAGGGGGUACUUGAUCUUUGGAUACUAGAUCUUUGGAUACUAGAUCGAGGUGUGUAAUAGUCCCACUAUGGGAUGUUAGAGGUUUGUUUUUUAAAAAACAACAACAACAAAGAAACCAUUCAGGAAGCCACAGGCGCUUCCACCAACUGCUAAUUUUGAAUCCCUGAGGGUUUUUCUACAGCUGAAAGAGACAUUAGCAAUUAGUGGAGUCCCGCCCUCCUAUUUUCCAGAUGAGGAGACAGACCUGUAAGAGACUUAUGGCUUGUCCAUAAAAGCCAAGCGAUUGUGCCCAGUGUUUACUCCUGAUACUGAAGGGUGCCUGGGGGACUUCCAGCACCUGCAGAGCAGUGGAGUUAGGCUGUAGGCUAGAGCUGGCGUGAGGGCUGCAGGCUUGUCACACGACUGAGGUCACUGCAGUGUUUAACGGUAGCUCUGGGGUGGUGGCAGGUUUGGUUCAGGGCAGUGCGUACCACAAGGACCCUUUGAAUUGUCUCAGACACUGUUUUCUGGAGAACUGCUGUUUGGGG